rnacentral:rRNA from 1 species
AUUGAACGCUGGCGGCAUGCUUUACACAUGCAAGUCGAACGGUAACAGGCCGCAAGGUGCUGACGAGUGGCGAACGGGUGAGUAAUGCAUCGGAACGUGCCCAGUCGUGGGGGAUAACGCAGCGAAAGCUGCGCUAAUACCGCAUACGAUCUAUGGAUGAAAGCGGGGGACCGUAAGGCCUCGCGCGAUUGGAGCGGCCGAUGUCAGAUUAGGUAGUUGGUGGGGUAAAGGCUCACCAAGCCGACGAUCUGUAGCUGGUCUGAGAGGACGACCAGCGCCACUGGGACUGAGACACGGCCCAGACUCCUGCGGGAGGCAGCAGUGGGGAAUUUUGGACAGUGGGCGCAAGCCUGAUCCAGCAAUGCCGCGUGCAGGAAGAAGGCCUUCGGGUUGUAACCUGCUUUUGUACGGAACGAAACGGUCUGGAUUAAUACCCUGGGCUAAUGACGGUACCGUAAGAAUAAGCACCGGCUAACUACGUGCCAGCCGCCGCCGUAACAC